rnacentral:tRNA from 4 species
AGAAACUUAGGAUAGACCCAAACCAAAGGCCUUCAAAGCCUUAAACAAGAGUUAAACCCUCUUAGUUUCUG